UUCCAGACUCCUACGGGAGGCAGCAGUGGGGAAUAUUGCACAAUGGGGGAAACCCUGAUGCAGCGACGCCGCGUGAGCGAUGAAGUAUUUCGGUAUGUAAAGCUCUAUCAGCAGGGAAGAAGAUGACGGUACCUGACUAAGAAGCCCCGGCUAACUACGUGCCAGCAGCCGCGGUAAUACGUAGGGGGCAAGCGUUAUCCGGAUUUACUGGGUGUAAAGGGAGCGUAGACGGCGAUGCAAGCCAGAUGUGAAAGCCCGGGGCUCAACCCCGGGACUGCAUUUGGAACUGUGUGGCUGGAGUGUCGGAGAGGCAGGCGGAAUUCCUAGUGUAGCGGUGAAAUGCGUAGAUAUUAGGAGGAACACCAGUGGCGAAGGCGGCCUGCUGGACGAUGACUGACGUUGAGGCUCGAAAGCGUGGGGAGCAAACAGGAUUAGAUACCCGUGUAGC
rnacentral:rRNA from 1 species